GAGAUUGUAGCUCAGUUGGUUAGAGCGUCAGAUUGUGGCUCUGAAGGCCGUGGGUUCGAAUCCCAUCAUUCUCC
rnacentral:tRNA from 1 species